UCUGUGUAUUGAUUGGUUGGGCUUUCCAUC
rnacentral:piRNA from 1 species